rnacentral:misc_RNA from 1 species
GAAAUGCGAUAAGUAAUGUGAAUUGCAGAAUUCAGUGAAUCAUCGAAUCUUUGAACACACAUUGCGCCCGCCAGCACUCUGGCGGGCAUGCCUGUUCGAGCGUCAUUUCAACCCUCAGAACCCCUUGCGGGAUCUGGCGUUGGGGAUUGGCAUCCAGCCAGCCCCGAAAUCUAGUGGCGGUCCCUCCGCGACCUCCCCUGUGCAGUAGCGAUACCUCGCAGCGGGACAGCGGUCUGACCACGCCGUAAAACCCCCAACUUCUCAAGGUUGACCUCGAAUCAGGUAGGAAUACCCGCUAAACUUAAGC